GGACCGCUAGCUCAAUCGGUAGAGCAGCGGACUCUUAAUCCGUUGGUUCGGGGUUCGAGUCCCCGGCGGUCCACCA
rnacentral:tRNA from 1 species